rnacentral:rRNA from 1 species
GGGCGACGAUGCGUAGGGGUUCUGAGAGGAAGGUCCCCCCACACUGGUACUGAGACACGGACCAGACUCCUACGGGAGGCAGCAG